rnacentral:rRNA from 1 species
CCUACGGGAGGCAGCAGUGGGGAAUUUUGGACAAUGGGCGCAAGCCUGAUCCAGCAAUGCCGCGUGCAGGAUGAAGGCCUUCGGGUUGUAAACUGCUUUUGUACGGAACGAAAAAGUUCUUUCUAAUAAAGAGAGCUCAUGACGGUACCGUAAGAAUAAGCACCGGCUAACUACGUGCCAGCAGCCGCGGUAAUACGUAGGGUGCGAGCGUUAAUCGGAAUUACUGGGCGUAAAGCGUGCGCAGGCGGUUAUAUAAGACAGAUGUGAAAUCCCCGGGCUCAACCUGGGACCUGCAUUUGUGACUGUAUAGCUAGAGUACGGUAGAGGGGGAUGGAAUUCCGCGUGUAGCAGUGAAAUGCGUAGAUAUGCGGAGGAACACCGAUGGCGAAGGCAAUCCCCUGGACCUGUACUGACGCUCAUGCACGAAAGCGUGGGGAGCAAACAGGAUUAGAUACCCUGGUAGUCCACGCCCUAAACGAUGUCAACUGGUUGUUGGGUCUUCACUGACUCAGUAACGAAGCUAACGCGUGAAGUUGACCGCCUGGGGAGUACGGCCGCAAGGUUGAAACUCAAAUGAAUUGACGG